rnacentral:miRNA from 1 species
GAGCUCUCUUCAGUCCACUC